rnacentral:sRNA from 1 species
CAGCUUAACAUGUGUGUCGAGAUGGAAUGCCGGCGUCAGAAUCUGGUAAAGUUCUCGAGCUUGGUUGUAUCUAUUCUGGGAGCAAAGAUCGAACAACUCCACGCACUCGGAGGGCCAAACAUUGGCCAUUCCCGAGACCCAACCUGUU